UCAAGAGGCAUUGAUUUCUUAUAGGUUUGAGCAUUUUUUUAUUCUGGAAAGUAAAUAAAACCAUGUUUUAAACCCACAUCCAUGUGAUGGAUCAUCAGUACGCACUGUUUUCAAAGUUUAGGGGAAAACAAAAAUGUGUAAAUAUUCCUGGUGACCUCUUUAACGGGACAAAGGAGGCUGCGGAUCGAUUCGUUACACCUUUUUAGUCAGGCUUCUCCGGGAGGGGAGGGGCUCUGAAUCCACAAGAGGCUCCAUUAAUAGCCCACUCUCAGUCCAAACUAUUAUCCAGCAUAAAGUGUUUAUAAAGAGCCAACGCUAUCUGAAACGAGGCAGCGUGGAGCCACAGAAACAGCGAGGAGGAUAGAAGACAAGAAGUUCUGUUUUUCUGUGCGCCUUUUUUAAGUCUCCAUCUUUCAUUCGGACUAAUUAAAACAAACAUUUUAGCUUCAACUUCAUGCUUUAACAAGAGAGGAAAGAGGAAGCAAAAAACUUUCUGCCAACCACCCCGUUCGACCAGAUCUGGUGACCUUUGAUUUGCUCAAUAAUAAAAGCAAACCACAAACAAGUUACUCCGUCGCCCAUCAUGUCGAAUGCAUGAAUCCCUCCCCUCCUGGAACUGUGGGACAGCGGCGGAGCGCCGACGAGAUGAGCCGUUUCCUUUCCUCUGUGAAGCUUUCGUGUGCAUUUCCAUACAGCCAAUUUUUUUUUUUUUUUUUGUCUCUCCUCCAGGUCUGACAAAUGAACGUCUGUGUAGCCGAGUUGACCAAAAGGUGAGGAACAAUUUGACCUUCAUUUUAUAAUCUUUACAUUCAUAAAUAGGUACAAAAAAAUGACAUAAAUGACUGUUUGAUUUAACCCUUUUAUUGUGUUUGGGUCAAAAUGGACCCGAAUGGGUCCAUUUGGACCCAAACACAAUAAAAGGGUUAAAUAUGUUAUUUAAUGCUGCCCUGAAAUGACAAAAAAAACCACAAAAAACAAACAAAAAAAUAAGGCAGAUUUAUAUUUCAAUAAAAUUAAUUCUCUUUCAGCAAGAGUCAAACAAAAAGUUUCUAUAAUCGUUCCCUAUGAAAAGACAAUUACCUAAAAACAAUUCAAAACACAAUUUAAAUAUACUUUCCAUAUGUUAUGACCAAAAUAGUUCUAUCCGUUCUGGUAAAGUGUUAAAAAAUAACCUAUCUGACCACAGACAACCUUCAAAGUUACCAGAAAGACUCAAAUUCAUCUUUUCCCUUGAUGCCAAUCAAAGAAGCAAAAGUUCCACCUUUAUGAUAAUAGCUCACCUUUUUAAUCUUGAGUAAUCUUAAAUCAAUGAUCAGAUACCUGGCACCCAUUGACAGCCUCGAUAUAAGAAUAUAUCCAAAGAAAUUAAUAAAGAAGAAGCUUUAACUUUGACGUGAGCUUUAUCUCCACAUCUAUCAGAUAAGGCUGCAAAAAUUAAAAAAUGCCAAGUAUGACUAUGGAGGAGAAGAAGAGGAGCGCUUUUGAUAUUUUCUGUAGAUUGACUUUUUUGCGGAGGUUGAAUGGGAUUUAAAGGACGAUGUAUUACCAAAAUUUGACUAUUAAAUCCUUAUAGGCUUCCAUAGAAAAGCACCAAAUUCAGGUUUAACCCUUAUUUUGUGUUUGAGUCAAAAUUGAUCGAUUUGGGUCAGUUUUUGGGUCAAUAUAAGGGUUAAAAUACAGUAAAACUUUUGUCUUUUUCAUAGACAAAUGUAGAUUAUUGUAUGGGUUACACUAUAGCUCAAAUUUAAUUUUGUAAAAAAAAAAAAUUUCCCAAAACCUCUCUGGGCUGAGCAAAUUUAAAUCUUUUUAUUUGUUCUCCAAUUAGUAAUUUUUCCACCAAUAAGGAGUAAAUAAAAAAAUCAGCCAAAUGUAAUUUACUUUUUAAUUUUUGUUUUGACAAAAAAAACUCUAAAAAUCUUUACAAGACUCUUAUUUUGGUGAAUAAAACUUAAAAAAGCAUCAUUUCAUUUGCAGUCAUGCACUGUAAAUCCGUCCUACUUCUAAUAACAUGAGCACUCCCAGAAACCGUUUCCAUGAGGAUAAAUUACCCGAAAUGACUCAACAAUAGAACCACAGCUUGAAGACUUUUUGUCAUCCGCUGUUUUGCGUAUUAAAUUAGAUUGCGCUAAUCUUCAGCUUUACUCUUAAAUUUAAAUCUGGAGAUCUCAAACUGUACAGAUCCCUCGCCGCUUCUAAAACGUGUCAGAGCCGCUAGUGUGCCGUACAUUAAAGGAGAAAAUGCUCCUAAAAAGGCUCUUUUCUGACAUCAACAUGACUUGUGUGCAAAGCGCCCAAAGAUCUGUGUAGUUCCAGGCAUAUAUUUAUGAAUAGGAACCUUUAAUUAGGGCUUGUGUUUCCUCCCUAGUCACAUUGAGGGAUGGUCCUCGCCGACAUUCAUUAAUGAUAAUCACCAAGAGCGAUGGCAUAGCUACAGGCCAAGUCUCAGGGGACUCGACACUUGAAAAGAAGCAUUAAAUUACACAGAGGGACUCUUUAAUUGCGAAAAGGAAAAUAUAUAGCCAUCAUUGUUAAAUAUGAUCUUUUGUAAGCCUUUGCUGCUUCAAAGAUUUGUCCAUGGGGUUUUCUUAUUUCUAAAUGGAUCUGCAGCCACACUUUGCAACAAAACACUGAAGAGGAGACUUUUGGAAGCCAAAAAUACCUUUAGCCUGUAAUGUUCUUCUUUUGGUUUAAUUUUAAACAAACUAACGUCAAAAACACCAAUAACAAUGUAAAAACACACACAUUGUAAUAUAUUUUUUAAAGUAUUGUGUUUCUUUAAAACUGUCAAAUCUCUUUGUUCCAUUUGCUUGAUGAUUUCUGGCCCACCGUCAAUGAAUGUCUAUGCAUCUAUUUUUUAUGUCAUAUAUAAGACGCACUGAGCAUUAAGCGAGACAAAAGAGUCAGAGAUAAGUCCAUCAGUCAAACUUUAUUACCUGCGUUCACAGUAAUUCUAGAACUUCUCUGUGACAUGCUACAUGUUAGCCACAUUAGAAGCGUUAGCUUAUUCACAAUACUUGUAACUCCAAACCUUGUUUGAAGCAUGUAAAAACAGACCGAUACUACUAAAACAAACAUUACUGUCACUCAAUACUUCUAACCUUGCUACUGAUUUGUAUGAAAAAAAAGAAGAAAAAAAAGCUACAAGUUAGCUUUAGCAACGUUUUCACAAUUCCUGUAGCUCCAAACGUUGUUCGCAACACACACAAAAAAAAUUGAAACCACUAAAACAGAUGUUUGUGUGACCAUGCUAACUCCUAACCUUGUUAGUAACAUGUAAAACAAAUAAAUAAAUAAAUAAAAUCAGUCCGAGACAGCCACAUGUUAGCUGCGCUAGCGUAGUCACUAUUCCUGUAACUCCAGACCUUGUUUGCAGCACGCAAAAAACACAGACUGAUCCAGCUAGAACAAACGUUAUUGUGACUCAAUGGUUCUAACCUUACUGCUGACUCGUAUAAACAAAAAAAAAA